rnacentral:rRNA from 1 species
UGGGGAAUUUUGGACAAUGGGGGCAACCCUGAUCCAGCCAUGCCGCGUGCAGGAUGAAGGCCUUCGGGUUGUAAACUGCUUUUGUUAGGAACGAAGCGGUGGAUGCUAAUACCAUUUACUAAUGACGGUACCUAAAGAAUAAGCACCGGCUAACUACGUGCCAGCAGCCGCGGUAAUACGUAGGGUGCAAGCGUUAAUCGGAAUUACUGGGCGUAAAGCGCGCGCAGGCGGCUUGGUAAGACAGGUGUGAAAUCCCCGAGCUCAACUUGGGAAUAGCACUUGUGACUGUCAGGCUAGAGUAUGUCAGAGGGAGGUGGAAUUCCAAGUGUAGCAGUGAAAUGCGUAGAUAUUUGGAAGAACACCGAUGGCGAAGGCAGCCUCCUAGGAUAAUACUGACGCUCAUGCACGAAAGCGUGGGGAGCAAACAGGAUUAGAUACCC